GUGUUCUGAGACUUUUGGUACUAAUUCGGCAAGCGUCAUAAUGAGAAAACUCAUUCGAAAUGACAUCGCUUAACUUGCGCUGAAUUUUGAUACAUUGCCUAAGGUUUUCUGUGAUUUUACUAUAUCUUAUUUAAGUAAUAUAAAUAUCGGCAUAGACUAGUACUUGAAAGAAUUUUUUAGCAAACAAAUAGUUGAUUUUGACCUUUUAAUGUCAAUGAGCUGAGUUAUUACUUCCCUUUUACCAAAGUCGGCCACCGAAUAUUUCAAUGAGCUGACUUGUUACUCCCCUUUUAACGAAUUUGGCAACAGCUAGUUUAUAGCCACACACAAUUUUUCAACUCAUGUUGAUACCGUCUUCAGCUCGAUGCUAAUAAUAUUGUUUGAAUUCGUCUUUGAAAAGAAUAACAUCAGACUUGCCAGCUGGAAGAUAAAAAGCCAGUGUCAAUGUUCAGAAGAUGUCAAGUAAUACUUGACCUUCUUGGGAAGAAGUUUCAUAACCUAUUGUAUACCAAUCCAACAGGAAACACUAAGCCUCUCUGCUCAAUGCCUGUGCUAUAAGAGGAAGAAUAAGAAUGCUGUGCAAAAGGAACUAUUCCUGUCUAUCCCACUUGCAGAUGUAGCAAUGCCAACAAUAUGUGACUAAUAACUCAUAGUACACCUAGUUGCUGUAAUAUUUUCAAAUCAUGAGCAGUCUAUCAUUAUGCGCUGCAACAAUUGUAGAUUUAAGAGUUAUAAACUUCCUCAAGACCGCACUCAUAUUUAUUGAAUAUGUUUGAAUGUAUAAUACAUUUUACAAAUACUCAUUUUAUUAUGCAGUAUUUUUAAUUAUUUUAAUUCAUUCUAAUAUAAUAUGUCAACUUAAACAACUGUAUGCAUUUAUAAUUUUUACAAUAGUAACCAUGGCGACCACAAAGUUGUGAUCAUUGCCAUGCAACUAACACUUAAAAAUAAAUGAUUCCUGAAUGUAUUGUCAUUUAAUAGGUUUUAAGAUAGCCACGUGUAAACUAAUUGUACGAUUAAAUGAAUAUUAAACAAAUCUGAGAAAAUUAUGUUUGUCUAUGUAUAUACUUAAUUAAAUGGGAUCAGUUUUAAUUCUUUAAAGAUGUAUAUAAUACUUGAAUUACAAUUAAAUCUGAAUUGCUAAGAGAUUUAAAAAUGCAAUUUGUUAUAACAUUGCUUUUUGCGAUUGUUUUUUUACAAGGUUUAAUAAAUAUAAUAUUUAAUGUUCACGUCUUUUAAAUACAUUAUUUUAUUUUCACCUCGUUCAAAUAAAUUAUGUUGUGUAUAGAUCUUGGUUUCCAUGGUUACAGUACAAGUAAAACAUUGAGAUUCUUUGUAAACAAUCACUGAUGAUUUUUGGAAAAUAUAAUGGUGCAGUUUGUAAGACAUAUUUUGUAGUGUCAUUUAAUUUGUUAAAAUUUGCAAACGAAUUUAGCGCAAAUAACCACAAGAGUCUAUAUCUAUUGAAUAGACACUAUGACUUUGUAUCUGCAUUAGGUAUGGAAGAAUGUUUUUUUUUCAAUAUAUCAUUUAUUAAACAAACAACAGUUAAAAAGUGCAUUUCGUACCCAAAAUUUCAAUAGUUUGAAUUAUUUAAGGUGUUUCCAUGGUAACCAAUAUACAUUUAAAAAUGUUUAUAAUGUUUUCUAAUUCUUGGGAAGUAUUAAGUAUAUCAUAUUAUAACACCAUAUGUUACUGAUUUAUUCAUGCACUUGUAGACGUAUUAAAAAUGUAUUAACAUAAUUUAUUGACAUGAAAAUAAAUCAAGAAAUGUUUA